rnacentral:rRNA from 1 species
GAAAAGAAAAGUAUUGGCAAGAAAUGGAUGCCUCGAUUCUAGAUUCCGAUGAAGGACGCGGAAGCCGGCGAUACGCCUCGGUGAGCGGGCAAAUACGCAUUGACCCGAGGAUUUCCGAAUGGGGGAACCCAUCCCGAUACGUCGGGAAAGCUCCGGAUGAAUAAAAUAGUCCGGUUGCAGGAUACGCAGUGAACUGAAACAUCUCACGUAACUGCGGAAAAGAAAUCAAAUAGAGAUUCCCUGAGUAGUGGCGAGCGAAACGGGAAAAGCCCAAACCCUGCUUUAGCGGGGGGUUGUAGGACUCCAACAUCUGAAUAUUCCAGGAAGCCGAAUGACUCCUGGAACGGACAGCCAUAGCGGGUAAGAGCCCCGUAGGCGCAAGCGGAAUAUUCGGUAGGAUGUUCCUGAGUAGGGUCGGACACGUGGAAUCCGGCUUGAAUCUGGGUGGACCACCAUCCAAGGCUAAACAGAUCUAGAGAUCGAUAGUGUACCAGUACCGUGAGGGAAAGGUGAAAAGAACCCCGGAAGGGGAGUGAAAUAGAACCUGAAAUUUCUUGCCAGAAUAAGAGUCGGAGUCUCGAUUUAUCGGGAUGACGGCGUACUUUUUGUAGAACGGCUGAGCGAGUAAGCUGUCGGUGGCUUGGUUAAGGGAGUAAUACCCGGAGCCCAAGCGAAAGCGAGUCUUAAAAGGCGUUUGUCGCCGGCACUUGACCCGAAACCGGGUGAGCUAACCAUGGGCAGGGUGAAGCGAAGGUAACACUUCGUGGAGGCCCGAACCCACGCGUGUGCAAGACGCGGGGAUGACCUGUGGUUAGGGGUGAAAAGCCAAUCGAACCCGGAGAUAGCUGGUUCUCCUCGAAAUAGCUUUAGGGCUAGCCUCGAAUGUUAACUUGCAGGGGUAGAGCUCUGUCACGGCUAGGGCCCUCCACAAAGGGUACCAAACCGUAACAAACUUCGAAUACUGUAAUGUAUUGUUCGGGAGUCAGACUGCGACAGCUAAGUGCCGUAGUCAAAAGGGAAACAGCCCAGAUCGCCGUCUAAGGUCCCUAAUGAAGUCUCAGUGGUAAAGGAGGUGGAAAUGUCGAGACAACCAGGAGGUUGGCUUAGAAGCAGCCAUUCCUUUAAAGAGUGCGUAACAGCUCACUGGUCCAACGUCUUUGCGCCGAAAAUAUAACGGGGCUUAAGGCUUCAACCGAAGACGCGAAUUCACGCUUAUGCGUGAGUGGUAGAGGAGCGUUCCGAUCUGCUGUGAAGUCAAACUGUGAGGUCUGGUGGAGCGUUCGGAAGUGAAAAUGCUCAGAUGAGUAACGGGGAAUGAAAGUGAAAACCUUUCACACCGCAAAACCAAGGUUUCCCACGCAAUGGCAAUCAGCGUGGGGUUAGUCGGUCCUAAGGCGAGGGCGAAAGCCGUAGUCGAUGGACAUCCGGUUAAUAUUCCGGAACCAGAAAUAGUUCGUCCAACGUGAACUUGUUUUAAAGUGACUCGAGUUCAUGCCCUUCGGGGUAUGUUCAAGAUGAUCUGGCGAAUAGGGGAGCGAGAAGCGGAGGGACGCCAUUUGGUAGCCCAAGCCCGUUAAUGAAUUCGGGUGCAAGUCUCUAGGCGUUGAUCCCGAUAGGUAAAUCCGUCGGGAGAGCUAAAAGAUUAUGCCAAAUACCACCCCGCGAGGGGAGGCGAGUUGGGUAACCCAAGUGGACAAGAAAAGCUUCGCUUCGAGAAUUAUUUUUGACCGUACCGCAAACCAACACUGGUGGUUGAGUCGAGUAGACUCAGGUGUUCGGGAGAAUUGCGCUCAAGGAACUCGGCAAAAAAGCAUCCGUAACUUCGGGAUAAGGAUCGCUUCUGCCCUUUUGAUUCAUCAGGAGGUUGGAAGCCGCAGCGAAAGAGCCCGGGCGACUGUUUACCAAAAACACAGGUCUCUGCUAAGUCAUAACGACGAUGUAUAGGGGCUGACCCCUGCCCAGUGCCAGAAGGUUAAGAGGAGGAGUUCACGCUCCGAAUCGAAGCCCUGGUGAACGGCGGCCGUAACUAUAACGGUCCUAAGGUAGCGAAAUUCCUUGUCGGGUAAGUUCCGACCCGCACGAAUGGGGUAACGGUCUGGGCACUGUCUCGAGCGCGAGCCCGGUGAAAUUGCAAUCUCGGUAAAAAUGCCGAGUAACCACAGUUAGACGGAAAGACCCUAUGGAGCUUUACUACAGUUUGACAUUGGGGUGCGGCGUAACAUGUGUAGGAUAGGUGGGAGACUUUGAAGCCUUGUCGCUAGGCGGGGUGGAGUCACCCUUGAAAUACCACCCUUGUUGCGUUGCGCCUCUAACCUGAGCCGCAUUCUGGUUACUAGACCUUGUGUCUAAAAAUCUAGCAGCUAGAAUCCGGUUCAGGAACAGUGUUUGACGGGUAGUUUAACUGGGGCGGUUGCCUCCUAAAGAGUAACGGAGGCGCGCAAUGGUUGGCUUAGCACGGAUGGAAAUCGUGCUGAAUGUGUAUGCGCAAAAGCCAGCCUGACUGCAAGACCUACAAGUCGAGCAGGGACGAAAGUCGGUGCAAGUGAUCCGGUACUUCCGCGUGGGCGGGGUAUCGCUCAACGGAUAAAAGUUACCCUAGGGAUAACAGGCUUAUCGAGUCCAAGAGCUCAUAUCGACGACUCGGUUUGGCACCUCGAUGUCGGCUCGUCGCAUCCUGGGGGGGGAGCACCUCCCAAGGGUAUGGCUGUUCGCCAUUUAAAGCGGUACGCGAGCUGGGUUCAGAACGUCGUGAGACAGUUUGGCCCCUAUCUGCUGUGGUAGUUUGGAAAACUGAGGGAAUCUGUUCCUAGUACGAGAGGACCGGAAUGGACGAACCUCUGGUGUACCGGUUGUACCUGUCAAGGGCAUGCCGGGUAGCUACGUUCGGAAGGGAUAACCGCUGAAAGCAUCUAAGCGGGAAGCCUAUCCUAAGAAUGUUUUCCCUAUGAGACCCCUUGGAGAACACAAGGUUGAUAGGCCGCAGGUGUACGCAUGGUGACAUGUUUAGCCGAGCGGUACUAAUGGUCCAUUGUUCUUUUUCG